GACAGAGGUGCCAAGCGUUAGGCGGAAUCACUGGGCUUAAAGCGUGUGUAGGCGGAUCGUUAAGUACCUUGUGAAAUCCCACGGCUUAACCGUGGAACUGCUGGGUAUACUGGCGGUCUUGAGCCACCUAGGGGCAGCUGGAACAAACGGUGGAGCGGUGAAAUGCGUAGAUAUCGUUUGGAACGCCAACGGUGAAAACAGGCUGCUGGGGGUGUGCUGACGCUGAGACACGAAAGCCAGGGGAGCGAACGGG
rnacentral:rRNA from 1 species